rnacentral:lncRNA from 12 species
CACUAUGAUUAAACAACGCCGUGCAUGAGCUGUUUGUGUCCGAUACCUCCAGAUGCUUUUGUAGAUUAUUAAACUAACAAGCUCCUGGACGACAUUGGUAUUGUGCUUGUUGCAAUACAUUUGCUGACGUUUCACGGGAUUAUAGGUUGAAUUACAAUCUCUGGAUGGACGGAAACGACUAUAUGCCGUGUCGUGUGGAUUAAUGAGAGAGAGACACGCGUGGGAAUCGAGACACCUGCUACCUGUAACUUUUCUCUCUCGAAAGCUCUUCAUUGCGCUUACGUUCGCUGGUUGACACGGUCUUUUUCUAUUUAACGCUUAACUGGUUUGUUUGGUAUAGGCUAAUGGACAUGAUAGCUGUAGAUAAAGUUCACCAGCAUCACAAUCCAACAGAUUCUCGCUGGGAAUUCGUCGCUGGACUGUAGACGUCGAUCGGGAGAUAUUUUGGAGGAGCGCGGUUGUUUAUCAUCACAAACGGGAUUUAUUCGUGGAAACUACGAUGUCCGUUAUACGCUCUUGGAUGGAAACUCUGUUGCUGUGUAUGUUCAUUUCAGAUGGUAAGUCUUUUUCAGCUUUUUAAUAUGAAAACAGGCAUUUUUGUUGGCAGCAUCACAAUAAUGGUCUUUCAGAGAAACUAUAUACAGUAUAGUUCAACCUUCACAUGAAGGGAGCUCUGCAGCUAUCGCUCAUGCACAGGCAAUGUGUAAACUACCAGUCAAUGAUGGCAUUAAAACAUGUUGUUUUCCUGCACUGAAUUUCAUAACAUAAAAGGCAUUUAAUGGGACAGUCUUGAUUAAUAAACAUUUGAAGCUAUGAAAAAGGGUCAGAAGUCAUGUAUUAACCAUAUGUCUGGGCCACAGGGCUGCCAUUAGGUAUUGUUUGUCAGAUCAUCUAGUUUGUCAUUAUUUCUGGAAUGUUCUAGAAAAAAAAAGGAAACAGCUGCCCCCUAAAUAUAUGAGGGCAUUGCAAGGUCUAAGUUGAAGUUUGAAGGUGUGAAAUGGAAAUGAAAUUGGAUGGACAUUUAGAAAAAGGCCCAAAACAUGACUGAGAAUUAGAGAUUAAAAGUGCUGGUUUUGUAAUGGACAUCAUUUUAUCCACCUGUUCUCAGAAUGAGUUUAAAGGUCACCAAAACCUCACAUCCAUUAGGUAGCGUAGUCCAUUUUAUAUAUCACAAAAAAAGUUAUUUUCAAAACUCUA